GCCUACGGGGGGCAGCAGUGGGGAAUAUUGGACAAUGGGCGAAAGCCUGAUCCAGCAAUGCCGCGUGAGUGAUGAAGGCCUUAGGGUUGUAAAGCUCUUUUACCCGGGAUGAUAAUGACAGUACCGGGAGAAUAAGCUCCGGCUAACUCCGUGCCAGCAGCCGCGGUAAUACGGAGGGAGCUAGCGUUGUUCGGGAUUACUGGGCGUAAAGCGCACGUAGGCGGCUUUGUAAGUUAGAGGUGAAAUCCUGGGGCUCAACUCCAGAAUUGCCUUUAAGACUGCAUCGCUUUGAUCCGGGAGAGGUGAGUGGAAUUCCGAGUGUAUAGGUGAAAUUCGUAGAUAUUCGGAAGAACACCAGUGGCGAAGGCGGCUCACUGGACCGGUAUUGACGCUGAGGUGCGAAAGCGUGGGGAGCAAACAGGAUUAGAUACCCCAGUAGUC
rnacentral:rRNA from 1 species